UACGAAGGGGGCUAGCGUUGCUCGGAAUCACUGGGCGUAAAGCGCACGUAGGCGGCAUCUUAAGUCAGGGGUGAAAUCCCGGGGCUCAACCCCGGAACUGCCUUUGAUACUGGUAGUCUUGAGUUCGAGAGAGGUGAGUGGAAUUCCGAGUGUAGAGGUGAAAAUUCGUAGAUAUUCGGAGGAACACCAGUGGCGAAGGCGGCUCACUGGACCGGUUCUGACGCUGAGGCGCGAAAGCGUGGGGAGCAAACGGG
rnacentral:rRNA from 1 species